rnacentral:rRNA from 1 species
ACGAACGCUAGCGGGCGCGCCUAACACAUGCAAGUCGAACGUGAAAAGGGGCAACCCUGAGUAAAGUGGCGCACGGGUGAGUAACACGUAGGUAAUCUACCCAAGAGCCCGGAAUAACCUGCCGAAAGGCGGGCUAAUACUGGAUAGGGUCGAGGAGCUCAUAAGGAGUUCCUCGGGAAAGGGAGCUGGUAUAACAGCCUUCACUCUUGGAUGAGCCUGCGGCCCAUUAGCUAGUUGGUGGAGGUAACGGCUCACCAAGGCGACGAUGGGUAGCUGGUCUGAGAGGACGAUCAGCCACACUGGGACUGAAACACGGCCCAGACUCCUACGGGAGGCAGCAGUGGGGAAUUUUGCGCAAUGGGCGAAAGCCUGACGCAGCGACGCCGUGUGAGUGAAGAAGGCCUGCGGGUUGUAAAGCUCUGUCGGAGGGGAAAGAAAAAUCCAUGGGGUUAACAGCCUAUGGACGUGACGGGUACCCUCUAAGGGAAGCACCGGCUAACUCCGUGCCAGCAGCCGCGGGUAAAUACGGAGGGUGCAAGCGUUUGUUCGGAUUUAUUGGGCGUAAAGGGGGAGGUAGGUGGUCCCGCAUGUCCGGGGUGAAAUCCCUGGGCUCAACUUAGGAAGUGCCUCGGAAACGGCGGGACUUGAGUCUUGGAGAGGUUGGCGGAAUUCCCGGUGUAGCGGUGAAAUGCGUAGGAGAUCGGGAGGAACACCAGAGGCGAAGGCGGCCAACUGGACAAGUACUGACACUCAACUCCGAAAAGCGUGGGGUAGCAAACGGGAUUAGAUACCCUGGUAGUCCACGCUGUAAACGAUGGGUACUAGAUUUGGCGGGAUUUUGACCCCUACCGAGUCGGAGCUAACGCAAAUAAGUACCCCGCCUGGGAAGUACGGUCGCAAGACUAAAACUCAAAGGAAUUGACGGGGGGCCCGCACAAGCGGUGGAUCAUGUGGUUUUAAUUCGAAAGCAACGCGAAGAAACCUUACCUGGGUUUUGACAUCGCCGGACAGCUCCAGAGAUGGAGUCUUCGUAGCAAUACGACCGGUAGACAGGUGCUGCAUGGCUGUCGUCAGCUCGUGGGGUGACCUGUUGGGUUUAAGUCCCGCAACGAGCGCAACCCCUGUCUUUAGUUGCCAGCAUUCAGUUGGGCACUCUAGAGAGACUGCCGUGGUUAAACACGGAGGAAGGUGGGGGAUGACGUCAAGUCCUCAUGGCCCUUACACCCAGGGCGACACACGUGAUACAAUGGCCGAUACAGAGGGUAGCGAAAACCGCGAGGUGGAGCCAAUCCCAAAAAGUCGGUCUCAGUUCGGAUUGGAGUCUGCAAUUCGACUCCAUGAAGGUGGAAUCGCUAGUAAUCGCGGAUCAGCACGCCGCGGUGAAUACGUUCCCGGGCCUUGUACACACCGCCCCGUCACACCAUGGAAGCUGACUUCACCAGAAGACGGUUAGGCUAACCGAAAGGGGGGCCGCCGGCCAAGGUGGGGUCGGUGACUGGGGUG